UUUCUGAUACCAGAGGUAAUGAUUAAUAGGGACAACUGGGGGCAUUCGUAUUGCGACGUUAGAGGUGAAAUUCUUGGAUCGUCGCAAGACGGACUAAAGCGAAAGCAUUUGCCAAAGGUGUUUUCAUUAAUCAAGAACGAAAGUUAGAGGUUCGAAGGCGAUUAGAUACCGCUGUAGUUCUAACCAUAAAUGAUGCCAGCCAGCGAUCCGCCGAAGUUUCAUAAUUUUAA
rnacentral:rRNA from 1 species